rnacentral:miRNA from 1 species
GCUGGGGAGGCAAAGGGACGC